GAUGAACGCUGGCGGCGUGCCUAAUACAUGCAAGUCGAGCGAACAGACGAGGAGCUUGCUCCUUCGACGUUAGCGGCGGACGGGUGAGUAACACGUAGGUAACCUACCUAUAAGACUGGGAUAACUUCGGGAAACCGGAGCUAAUACCGGAUAAUAUUUCGAACCGCAUGGUUCGAUAGUGAAAGAUGGCUUUGCUAUCACUUAUAGAUGGACCUGCGCCGUAUUAGCUAGUUGGUAAGGUAACGGCUUACCAAGGCAACGAUACGUAGCCGACCUGAGAGGGUGAUCGGCCACACUGGAACUGAGACACGGUCCAGACUCCUACGGGAGGCAGCAGUAGGCAAUCUUCCGCAAUGGGCGAAAGCCUGACGGAGCAACGCCGCGUGAGUGAUGAAGGUCUUCGGAUCGUAAAACUCUGUUAUUAGGGAAGAACAAACGUGUAAGUAACUGUGCACGUCUUGACGGUACCUAAUCAGAAAGCCACGGCUAACUACGUG
rnacentral:rRNA from 1 species